AUUGAACGCUGGCGGCAUGCUUUACACAUGCAAGUCGAACGGCAGCGCGGGCUUCGGCCUGGCGGCGAGUGGCGAACGGGUGAGUAAUACAUCGGAACGUGCCCAGUAGUGGGGGAUAGCUCGGCGAAAGCCGGAUUAAUGCCGCAUACGACCUGAGGGUGAAAGCGGGGGAUCUUCGGACCUCGCGCUAUUGGAGCGGCCGAUGGCAGAUUAGCUAGUUGGUGGGGUAAAGGCCUACCAAGGCGACGAUCUGUAGCUGGUCUGAGAGGACGACCAGCCACACUGGGACUGAGACACGGCCCAGACUCCUACGGGAGGCAGCAGUGGGGAAUUUUGGACAAUGGGCGAAAGCCUGAUCCAGCAAUGCCGCGUGUGUGAUGAAGGCCUUCGGGUUGUAAAGCACUUUUGGCGGGAACGAAAAGGACUGUGCCAAUACCACGGUUCGAUGACGGUACCCGCGGAAUAAGCACCGGCUAACUACGUG
rnacentral:rRNA from 1 species